rnacentral:rRNA from 1 species
CCUACGGGAGGCAGCAGUCGAGGAUUUUUCUCAAUGGGGGAAACCCUGAAGGAGCGACGCCGCGUGGGGGAUGAAGGUCUUCGGAUUGUAAACCCCUGUCAUCUGGGAACAAAGCGCUCCACCUAACACGUGGAUUGUUGAUAGUACCGGAAGAGGAAGCCGUGGCUAACUCUGUGCCAGCAGCCGCGGUAAU